CAUCCUUUACUUUUGACAGAAGGAGUGUUUAUUGGUAAUUGCUCACUAAUGAUUUGAUUAUAGUCUCCUUUUGAAGACGAUCCACUUGAUUGCCACACUCAAAGCAGUUCUCCCAGCAAUCAGCAAAGAAUUCUGCUGGCUUUCCCCCCAUCGCAGGCAUGAAUAAUCAUCAUGACGCUUCUGCACUGCCCUCUAAGGGCUGCAUGUCUGAGCUACAAGCCAGAAGUCCUGUUGGGAAAGCGUGCUUUCUAGAGCUAAGGCAGAAUUUCUCCAACAGUUCACUCCGUGAGUAACAAACUGUAGUGGGCAUGGGUCUCCCCAAUAACAAAAUAUCUUGCUGUGAACUGUUUACUACAAUAACUGUUAUGAACAACAGUAGAAAAACCAAAAACAUAAAAAAGGAAAUAGAAAGUUGGGAGAAUAAGGAGGGGCAGGAUGUUACAGAGGAAUUAACAGAUGAGAGAAUGAAAAUACAUAAGCCUAGUUGAAGCAAGGGAAGACAUAAGGGAACAUCAGAGCUGACAAGUCAAGGAUAGCUGUUGUGACAUCAGCAUCAAAAUGGUGAGCUUUGUCACUAGCAUUUGUUACUGUUUGCGGGGCCAAACCAGCAGGGGUUUGUUCCCACCACUUCUAUAUUGAACCAUAGCUUCUGAGGGAAUGGCUCUAAGGUGGGAAAGUCCCUAAAUCCCAGGAAUACAGUAGAGCUUAGCUAUCCCUUUAUGAAAUGUCUUAUUACCUUAAGGAAAAAAAAAUAACUUUAAGGUUUGAAAAGUGUUAACUAGUAAGAAUGGUAAUAAAAUUUAAACAUUGGUAAAUCUAUCUUAGCCUUUUCUUAAACAUAGGCAUAUAUAAUACAUACAUACAUAUAUAUAUCACAUUAUGUGAUUCAAUAUUAUUUUGUAACAAAAAAUAGAACUUCUUAAGUUCCUGCAAUGAGAACUCUAGUGAUAUGUUUGCGAUGCCCAUUUUGAAAGCCCAUAAAAGAAAGAUGUAAGAUGUAAUUUCUUUACUCUUCUUCAAACAAGCAAAGAGAUCUUGCUUGGGAGUAAAAUAAAUGUAAAAAAUAUCAUAUAUCUCACUUGCAAUUAAAGAUUCUAUUUUCCUAGUUUAAGGAACAAAAGACUAAAACUCUGGGUAAAAUAUUCAUUAACCCAACCAGAAGCUUUAUUACUUCAACGUGAUGUUUUAAAAAAUUCUCUAUCUACACGGGGCUUUUAACUUUUUCUUCCUUCAGGCAGAGAUUUGGGAAUCUAAAUGGAGCAUUAAUUCAGCUUAUCUCAAAUGACACCAUUAAUAUUUCACUGAAAUUUUUAAAUUAAGGGACAAUUUAAAUUUUCUAGUGCAUAUACUUUCAAUUUAUAUUCAUCACUAUUUGUCAGAACAAAGUUUUAAAAACUUGAUUUAGUGAUCUGUGUAUAUAUUUUUCCCCAUAUUACAAAAAUUUCAUACAUAAAAAUUGUUCAGUGAAUACCCACAUGACCACAAGAGUCUACAAUUAACACUUGGCUGUAUUUGCUUUAUCACUUACCUAUCCUCUAUCAAACCAUGAAUCCACCUUUUUAACUAAUUAAAUUGCAGAUAAUUAUAUUCUUCACUCCUUUUUAAAUAGGGUUCAGUAUUUGUUUAUAGUGCUUUAGUUUUUGAGGCAAAUUUUAUAUAAAGUAAAAUGCAGAGACCCUAAAAGUACUAUUUGAUGAGCUGUGAGAAAUGCACACACUUGUACAACGGGCUGAAUGUUUGAUUUCCCCAAACACAUUCACUUGUUGAAAUACUACUGUGAUGGAGGUGGGGCCUUUGGGAAGUAAUUAGGUAAUGAGGGUGAUGCUCAAUGAUGGCAUUAGUACUCACGUAAGGGGAAGGACUAGCACAAAGAGAGGACAAACGUCUCUAAGGAAGAAAGAGGCCCUUUCCCAGGAACCUGACCAUGCUGGCACCCUGAUCCGGGACUUCUAGUCCUCCAGAACUGUGAGAAAUAAAUGUUUAUGGUUUAAGCCAUCCAGUCUAUGGUAUUUUGUUAUGCAGGCUCAACUAAGACGUUGUGUAACCCUAACCCUUGUCCAGUUGUAAUUUUUCACCUGAAUUUCCUUAUCCUUCUCAACCCCUACUUCCAAACACUGUUUUCACCAUACAUUAAUUUUACCUUGCCUAGAACUUCUUAAACGCAGAAUUGUAUGCACUCUUUCUCAGAGAUGUCUUUCACUAGCCAUGUUUUUGUUGUUCAUCAGUAUUGUUGCAGUAUACCUAUCUUUUCUCUCUUGAGUAGUAGUAUUUAAUUGUAGAAAUAUACUUUUUGUUUAACCAUCCUCAUUUUCCUUUUAAGUCUAGUUAACUUACAGUGUUAGAUUAGUUUCGGGUUUACAGUAUAGUAAUUCAACAUGCGUACACAUCAUCCUAUCUAUUUUUCUUUUGAUGGGUCCCUGAAUCACUUUCAUUUUUUUGACUACUAAAAAUAAACCUGCUUUAUUCUUGUAUGUUUUUAGGUGAAUAUAUUUUCUUUCUUUUUUUUAAUAUCUUAUUUAUUUGUUCAUGAGAGAGAGAGAGAGGCAGAGACAUAGGCAGAGGGAGGAGAAGCAGAUUCCAUGUAAGGAAGCCCGAUGUGGGACUCGAUCCUGGGAAUCUCGGAUCAGGCCCUGAGCCAAAGGCAGAUGCUCAACUGCUGAGCCACUCAGGCGU
rnacentral:lncRNA from 1 species